GCCAGCCCGCGGCCCCUUACCUUGGCCUGGCAUUUCCGAUGACAGGAGAAGCUGCAGACUGCAAGAGGGCGAGACACAGAAAGAAAGUUUUAGCCGCGAGGUAAGGGGCUGGCUGUCAGCACCAGGACCCGGCAAAGCAUCUGACCCAGAGGACGGCUCAGUUCAUGAUUGCCAGAUGGCUGCAUGGAGCGCGGAGGAGUGAAAUCACACCCCAUUCCCAUGGACCUGCCCUCAGAAGAGAGAGAACGUGGGGCCACCCUCGCCACAAGCCAAGACACCAGGUGACCAGGUGCUGUCAUCUUCUGGCUGAGAUGCUCCUGGACUCCAAUCACCGGGAAUCGCCAAGGAAAGAAGGAAGGCAGACAGUGACAUUUCCCCAGCACUUCCCAGGCCACUGCCCAAGAGCCUUUAACUCCUGACUCAGUCUCCUCAGCAAGAUGAGUUCUCUCCAUCAGGGUCUUUCUCUUUCUUUCUCUCUCUCUCUCUCUCUCUGUCUCUCCUGAGCGGGCUGAAUUCUCUCCAUCAGUGUCUGUCUGUCUCUCUCUCUCUCCUGAGCAAGAUGAGUUCUCUCCAUCAGUGUCUCUCUCUCUCCCCCCCCCCCCCCCCCCCGCCCUUCUUAAUGCAGGUUGCCCACAUUUCUGAUGCAUCAAGCCCAUUUUCUGCACUGAAACAAAAUCAUGUCCUGGCAUGGAAGGGUUCAGAGAUGGGGCUAGUCUGAGACCCCAUCAGUGGGGCCAGGUGCCCUAGUGAGGGAUUGGAAUGGACUUCCUCAUUUAAUCCUCACAAUGAUGCCCUACGCUGGAGUGAGGAACCUGCCCAGGGCCCUUCCUGCAUGGCCCUGGGCCUUGCUCUGUUGCCAGGGCUGGAGUGCAGUGGUGUAAUCAUAGUUCACUGUAGCCUUGACCUCCCGGGCUCGAGUGAUCCUU